rnacentral:tRNA from 1 species
GGCCCCAUCGUCUAGCCAGGUUAGGACGCUGCCCUUUCAAGGCGGUAACACGGGUUCGAAUCCCGUUGGGGCCA